ACGAACGCUGGCGGCAUGCCUAACACAUGCAAGUCGAACGAAGGCUUCGGCCUUAGUGGCGCACGGGUGCGUAACGCGUGGGAAUCUGCCUCUCGGUUCGGGAUAACAGUUGGAAACGACUGCUAAUACCGGAUGAUGACUUCGGUCCAAAGAUUUAUCGCCGAGAGAUGAGCCCGCGUAGGAUUAGGUAGUUGGUGGGGUAAAGGCCUACCAAGCCGACGAUCCUUAGCUGGUCUGAGAGGAUGAUCAGCCACACUGGGACUGAGACACGGCCCAGACUCCUACGGGAGGCAGCAGUGGGGAAUAUUGGACAAUGGGCGCAAGCCUGAUCCAGCCAUGCCGCGUGAGUGAUGAAGGCCCUAGGGUUGUAAAGCUCUUUCACCGGUGAAGAUAAUGACGGUAACCGGAGAAGAAGCCCCGGCUAACUUCGU
rnacentral:rRNA from 1 species